CUUCUGAUCCAGCUCUCUGCUGUGGCCUGGGAAAGCAGGCCCAGGUCCUUUGGCCCCUGGGAGACCUGGAGGAAGCUCCUGGCUCCUGGCUUCAGAUCGGCACAGCUCUGGGCACUGAGGCUGUUUGGGGGGUGAACCAAGCAGGAGGGAGUGCAGUGCUGUGGCUGGAGGCCAGUGAGGCGGGAUCCCACAGCCGGACCCGCAGGAGACGCAACGGAAGACGCACGAGAAUGUGAGAUCCUCCAUUCAGAACUUCCUCACCCACGUGGUCCUGCCAAUUGGGUAACACUUCACCCCAUAAAAGAGGAUAUGUGCUCCUUCCUGCACCCUAGAGAUGGACAUGAAAAAUAAACAGACAAGUGUUCUGCUGGGCUGAGCCGAAGGUAUUGGUUUUACCCAGAAGAGCUGAGAAAAGCAGAAUCAAAGGACAGACGGCAGAUUGGUCAUUUCAAAGUGUCUUUCCUUUUAAGACGGGUCAGGGAAAUAGAACAAUAGAAAAAUAUCUGAUUGGCUCACAUCAAGUUGCUUCAAGUCACGCUUUAUGUGUAAGGAUCAAGGCAGAGGGAACUUCGUUGCCACGGCAGUUGAGACUGGUCUCUUUUGAAAUUUGGCUGUAGUCUGUUUCUACUGAGUGGUUUGGUGGCAGGAACUUUAGCCUAGGUGACUCCAUUUUGGUGGGUUUUUAAAAAGAUUUAUUUAUUUAUUUGAGAGGCAGAGUUACAGACACAGAGAGGGAGAGACAGAGAGAGAGGUCUUCCAUCCGCUGGUUCACUUCCCAAAUGGCAGCAAUGGCUGGAGCUGUGCCGAUCCAAAGCCAGGAGCCAGGAGCUUCUUCCAGGUCUCCCAUGUGGGUGCAGGGGCCCAAGGACUUGGCCCAUCAUCUACUGCUUUCCCAGGCCAUUAGCAGAGAGCUGGAUCAGAAGUGGAGCAGCCAGGACUAGAACCGGUGCCCAUAUGGGAUUCCAGUGCCGCACACAGAGGCUUAACCUACUAUGCCACAGUGCUGGCCCCCAUUUUGACUUCUAGGCUGGAUUCUCAGAGUCUACUGCAGGAUCUUAGCCCAAAACAAUGGCCUCUUGUAAAUUUUAUUAGGAGACAUGCAUUAUUUUUAAAUUUUUUAAAAAAUAUUUAUUUAGGAAGGCAGAGAAACAGGGACAGACAAAAAGAAGUUUUCCAUCUGCUGGACCACUCCCCAAAUGCCUGCAAUAACUUGAACUGGGCCGGGUUGAAGCUGGUUAGCUUAGGACUCACUUUGGGUCUUCCUCAUGGGUGGCAGGGACCCAACCACUUGAGUCAUCACCUGCUGUCUCGCAGGGUGCUCAUUAGUAGAAAAGUAGAAUCUUCAAUUCUGCCUUUCUACCAGAGACGGGUCUUGAAUCCAGGUCACCCCAAGUUAGGUCUUUUUUAUUCUUAAAGGCUUAUUUUUUAUUCUUUUUGUUUGAAAGGCAGAAUGAUAGAGAGAUGGGGAGGGAGUAAGAGAUGGAAGAGAGAGAGAGAGAGAGAGAUGAGAGAGAGAGAGAGAGAGAGAGAGAUUUCCUAUCUGCUGGUUCACUCUCCAAAUGCCUACAAUAGCUAGGGCUGGUCCAGUCUGAAGCCAGGAGCCUGGUGCUCCAUCAGAAUCUGCCAUACGGAUGGCAGGAGUCCAAGCACUUCGGUCAUUCUCUGCUGCCUUCCCAGGCACAUUAUCAGGAGGCUGGAUCAGAAAUGGAGCAGCCAGGACUUGAACUGGUGCUGGAAUCUGGGAAGCCAGCGUUGCAGGCAGCAGCUUGGCUCACUGCACCAUAACGUGGGCCCCAAGUGGUGUCUUAACUGCUGUGCCAAACGCCUACCCCUAAUAUCCUUUAGAGGGUGGCUGCAAUGCUGCUGACAGGCUGGAGUACACGGGUGGGUGUAGAUCAUUAAAAGUCUUGCAUAGAGACUGGUGAACUAGGGUGAACUGAACUUGGGAAGAGGCAGGUGCAGUGUCUGGCAGAACACCCGGGAGAGAGAUAGGAAGACAGGCGUUUCAAUGUCGUCCCCAUCUCCUAGAGUUCUAAGUAGUAGAAGGCAGCUCCUGAAGUUCCUAACUCAGCUCUGGGUUUAUACAGACACCAACACUCGUGAAGCGUGCACUGUAAGAAAUCUUGGUGCAUGAGAAAACUCUUAAUUCCCCCAAGCCUGGGCAAGCCAUCAGAGACAUGCCCGAGGUGUCAUGUUGCAACAGUCUGGGGAGAAGGCUCCUCAGCCUAUGCAGGAAAUCACAGUUUCCAGAACCAGUGGAUGUUAUCUGAGAAUGGACUCUCCACCCCCAGGGGAGCAAGAAAGAAAAUUAUUUUAUUUUAUUUUUUUAAAAGAUUUUAUUUAUUUACUUGAGAGAUAGAGUUAUAGACAAUGAGAGGGAGAGACAGACAGAAAGGUCUGUCCUCCAUUGGUUGACUCCCCAGAUGGCCGCAACGGCUGGAGCUGUGCUGAUCCGAAGCCAGGAGCCAGGUGCUUCUUCCUGGUCUCUUGUGCCGGCACAGGGGCCCAAGCACUUGGGCCAUCUUCUGCUGCUUUCCCAGGCCACAGCAGAGAGCUGCACUGGAAGAGGAGCAGCCGGGACUAGAACCGGCACCCAUAUGGGAUGCCGGCGCCACAGAUGGAGGAUUAACCUAAUGUGCCAUGGUUCCGGCCCCAAAAGAAAAUUUAAGGAUGACUUGCAGGAGUCUUGCAAAAGGGCAGAUUUAGAGAUGCACAAGUGGACGCAGCAGAGCAGCCCAGCGGUGGUGUCCUUCAAGGUAUUAAUGAUUUCUCAUAGAAAUGCUUUUAUAA